UACGAAGGGGGCUAGCGUUGCUCGGAAUUACUGGGCGUAAAGGGCGCGUAGGCGGCACUGUUAGUCAGGCGUGAAAUUCCUGGGCUCAACCUGGGGACUGCGCUUGAUACGGCAGAGCUUGAGGAUGGAAGAGGGUCGCGGAAUUCCCAGUGUAGAGGUGAAAUUCGUAGAUAUUGGGAAGAACACCGGUGGCGAAGGCGGCGACCUGGUCCAUUACUGGACGCUGAGGCGCGACAGCGUGGGGGAGCAAACAGGG
rnacentral:rRNA from 1 species